AUGCAGUCGAACGGUAACGCGGGGCAACCUGGCGACGAGUGGCGAACGGGUGAGUAAUACAUCGGAACGUGCCCAGUAGUGGGGGAUAGCCCGGCGAAAGCCGGAUUAAUACCGCAUACAACCUAUGGGUGAAAGCGGGGGAUCGCAAGACCUCGCGCUAUUGGAGCGGCCGAUGUCGGAUUAGCUAGUUGGUGGGGUAAAAGCCUACCAAGGCUACGAUCCGUAGCUGGUCUGAGAGGACGACCAGCCACACUGGGACUGAGACACGGCCCAGACUCCUACGGGAGGCAGCAGUGGGGAAUUUUGGACAAUGGGCGCAAGCCUGAUCCAGCCAUGCCGCGUGCGGGAAGAAGGCCUUCGGGUUGUAAACCGCUUUUGUCAGGGAAGAAACGGUUCAUAUUAAUACUAUGAACUAAUGACGGUACCUGAAGAAUAAGCACCGGCUAACUACGUGCCAGCAGCCGCGGUAAUACGUAGGGUGCAAGCGUUAAUCGGAAUUACUGGGCGUAGAGCGUGCGCAGGCGGCUUUGCAAGACAGAUGUGAAAUCCCCGGGCUCAACCUGGGAACUGCAUUUGUGACUGCAUCGCUAGAGUGCGGCAGAGGGGGGUGGAAUUCCGCGUGUAGCAGUGAAAUGCGUAGAUAUGCGGAGGAACACCGAUGGCGAAGGCAAUCCCCUGGGCCUGCACUGACGCUCAUGCA
rnacentral:rRNA from 1 species